GGUCCGUUGGUCAAGGGGGUAAGACACCGCCUUUUCACGGCGGUAACACGGGUUCGAAUCCCGUACGGACUA
rnacentral:tRNA from 2 species